rnacentral:rRNA from 1 species
AUUGAACGCUGGCGGCAUGCCUUACACAUGCAAGUCGAACGGCAGCGCGGGAGCAAUCCCGGUGGCGAGUGGCGAACGGGUGAGUAAAGUAUCGGAACGUGCCCAGUCGUGGGGGAUAACGUAGCGAAAGUUACGCUAAUACCGCAUACGAUCUAUGGAUGAAAGCGGGGGAUCGCAAGACCUUGCGCGAUUGGAGCGGCCGAUAACAGAUUAGGUAGUUGGGGGGGUAAAGGCUCACCAAGCCGACGAUCUGUAGCUGGUCUGAGAGGACGACCAGCCACACUGGGACUGAGACACGGCCCAGACUCCUACGGGAGGCAGCAGUGGGGAAUUUUGGACAAUGGGCGAAAGCCUGAUCCAGCCAUGCCGCGUGCAGGAUGAAGGCCUUCGGGUUGUAAACUGCUUUUGUACGGAACGAAAAGGUUUGGCCUAAUAAGCUGAGCUCAUGACGGUACCGUAAGAAUAAGCACCGGCUAACUACGUGCCAGCCGCCGCCGUAA